AUAGCCACAUCAAUGUGUUCUUAUCAGUUUAUGAUAUGUCCUUUAUUUGAGGACUGUAUAUUAAAUUGAUUUUUGAAACGGGGCUGGAAUAGGCGCUUGCUCUGUCCACCCCAUGCAUUGACCUGGUAUUGCAGUGCCUCCAGGACUUGUUUAAAAAAA
rnacentral:snRNA from 1 species